rnacentral:rRNA from 1 species
UACGUAGGUGGCAAGCGUUGUUCGGAAUUAUUGGGCGUAAAGGGCGCGUAGGCGGUUUGUUAAGUCGGUUGUGAAAGCCCGGGGCUCAACCCCGGAGGGUCGACCGAUACUGGCAGGCUAGAGUACAGAAGAGGUAGCUGGAAUUCCACGUGUAGCGGUGAAAUGCGUAGAGAUGUGGAGGAACACCAGUGGCGAAGGCGGCUUUCUGGUCUGUAACUGACGCUGAGGCGCGAAAGCGUGGGGAGCAAACAGG